rnacentral:tRNA from 1 species
GCGCCGGUCGUAUAGUGGCAAUUACAUGAGACUGUAAAUCUCACGGCCUUUGGCCUUCGGUGGUUCGAGUCCACCCCGGCGCA